GGUGAUAGUGAUUUGAGGACAUGGGUGUCUGAUAAGCUAAUGUCAUUGCUAGGGUAUUCACAGGCCACGGUUGUUCAGUACAUAAUUGGCUUAUCUAAGCAAGCAAAUUCCCCAGCUGAUGUGCUGGCCAAGAUGGCAGAAUUUGGAUUUUCAUCAUCAACUGAAACCCGUUCUUUUGCUGAAGAACUUUUUUCUAGAGUACCCCG
rnacentral:misc_RNA from 1 species